UACAGAGGUCUCAAGCGUUGUUCGGAUUCAUUGGGCGUAAAGGGUGCGUAGGCGGUUUUGUAAGUCUUGUGUGAAAUCUUCAGGCUCAACUUGAAGACUGCACGAGAAACUGCAGGGCUUGAGUGUGGGAGAGGUGAGUGGAAUUCCUGGUGUAGCGGUGAAAUGCGUAGAUAUCAGGAGGAACACCUGUGGCGAAAGCGGCUCACUGGACCACAACUGACGCUGAUGCACGAAAGCUAGGGGAGCAAACAGG
rnacentral:rRNA from 1 species